UACGAAGGGGGCUAGCGUUGCUCGGAAUCACUGGGCGUAAAGCGCACGUAGGCGGCUUACUAAGUCAGGGGUGAAAUCCUGGAGCUCAACUCCAGAACUGCCUUUGAUACUGGUGAGCUUGAGUCCGGAAGAGGUGAGUGGAACUGCGAGUGUAGAGGUGAAAUUCGUAGAUAUUCGCAAGAACACCAGUGGCGAAGGCGGCUCACUGGUCCGGUACUGACGCUGAGGUGCGAAAGCGUGGGGAGCAACAGG
rnacentral:rRNA from 1 species